GGGGAAUUUUCCGCAAUGGGCGAAAGCCUGACGGAGCAAUACCGCGUGAGGGAGGAAGGCUCUUGGGUUGUAAACCUCUUUUCUCAGGGAAGAACACAAUGACGGUACCUGAGGAAUAAGCAUCGGCUAACUCCGUGCCAGCAGCCGCGGUAAUACGGAGGAUGCAAGCGUUAUCCGGAAUGAUUGGGCGUAAAGCGUCCGCAGGUGGCAGUGUGUGUCUGCUGUUAAAGAGUGAGGCUCAACCUCGCAAAAGCAGUGGAAACUACACAGCUAGAGUACGUUCGGGGCAGAGGGAAUUCCUGGUGUAGCGGUGAAAUGCGUAGAGAUCAGGAAGAACACCGGUGGCGAAAGCGCUCUGCUAGGCCUGUACUGACACUGAGGGACGAAAGCUAGGGGAGCGAAUGGGAUUAGAUACCCCAGUAGUCCUAGCCGUAAACGAUGGAUACUAGGCGUGGCUUGUAUCGACCCGAGCCGUGCCGUAGCUAACGCGUUAAGUAUCCCGCCUGGGGAGUACGCACGCAAGUGUGAAACUCAAAGGAAUUGACGGGGGCCCGCACAAGCGGUGGAGUAUGUGGUUUAAUUCGAUGCAACGCGAAGAACCUUACCAAGGCUUGACAUGUCGCGAAUUUCGCUGAAAGGUGAAAGUGCCUUCGGGAGCGCGAACACAGGUGGUGCAUGGCUGUCGUCAGCUCGUGUCGUGAGAUGUUGGGUUAAGUCCCGCAACGAGCGCAACCCUCGUUUUUAGUUGCCAGCAUUAAGUUGGGCACUCUAGAGAGACUGCCGGUGACAAACCGGAGGAAGGUGGGGAUGACGUCAAGUCAGCAUGCCCCUUACGUCUUGGGCUACACACGUACUACAAUGCUACGGACAGAGGGCAGCAAGACAGCGAUGUCAAGCAAAUCCCGUAAACCGUGGCUCAGUUCAGAUCGCAGGCUGCAACUCGCCUGCGUGAAGGAGGAAUCGCUAGUAAUUGCAGGUCAGCAUACUGCAGUGAAUUCGUUCCCGGGCCUUGUACACACCGCCCGUCACACCAUGGAAGCUGGCAACGCCCGAAGUCAUUACUCCAACCUUUCGGGGGGGAGGAUGCCUAAGGCAGUGCUGGUGACUGGGGUGAAGUCGUAACAAGGUAGCCGUACCGGAAGGUGUGGCUGGAUCACCUCCUUUUAGGGAGACCUACCCACUCAAGUGUCGAAAAACAAUCAGUUACAUAGAUAUUGAGUUGGUCAUCCCAGGUCGUUCGAGUAUUGGUGAAAAUCUUUCAAAGUAUUAUUGGUUCGAUUAUUUGUAAAUAACGUGAUUGUAAAAACUCAGCAACAUGACAUAAAUCAAGUCAGACUGCUGAGGAUUUCUCAGCCAGAACCAUGAAAACUGCAUAGUAACGCGAAAUUAGCAGGUAGACACAGACAUUGAAAAGAUGAUUGUGUAUACAGGUGAAACACCAAUGAAAAAGUUUAAUUACGAAUUAGGAAUUACGAAUUAAACAGUAGUGGUCAAGCUAAUAAGGGCUAAUGGUGGAUACCUAGGCACACAGAG
rnacentral:misc_RNA from 1 species